GCAAGAAUUAAAACUAUGUGGACAGAAAUAGUUAAUCGACGCACCAAGCUAAAGGUUGUCAUUUGGGACUUUGUAAACUCUGAUUUGGCUUUCGAGAAAAUAGUAUGUAAUUAAUAAGU